GACAACGUGCCCGAGCGGUUAAGGGGUUUGACUCGAAUUAAUGUGUCCGAUCUAUCAAAUGCGGUUUCGCGCGUAGGUUCGAAUCCUACCGUUGUCG